rnacentral:rRNA from 1 species
GACGAACGCUGGCGGCGUGCCUAAUACAUGCAAGUCGAGCGAAGUUUUUCUGGUGCUUGCACCGGAAAAACUUAGCGGCGAACGGGUGAGUAACACGUAAAGAACCUGCCUCAUAGACUGGGACAACUAUUGGAAACGAUAGCUAAUACCGGAUAACAGCAUUAACUGCAUGGUUGAUGUUUAAAAGUUGGUUUUGCUAACACUAUGAGAUGGCUUUGCGGUGCAUUAGCUAGUUGGUGGGGUAAAGGCCUACCAAGGCGACGAUGCAUAGCCGACCUGAGAGGGUGAUCGGCCACACUGGGACUGAGACACGGCCCAGACUCCUACGGGAGGCAGCAGUAGGGAAUCUUCCGCAAUGGGCGAAAGCCUGACGGAGCAACGCCGCGUGAGUGAAGAAGGAUUUCGGUUCGUAAAGCUCUGUUGUUAGUGAAGAAUGAUUGUGUAGUAACUAUACACAGUAGAGACGGUACCUAACCAGAAAGCCACGGCUAACUACGUG